rnacentral:rRNA from 1 species
AAACCAGCACCUCAAGUGGUCAGGAGGAUUAUUGGGCCUAAAGCAUCCGUAGCCUGCUCUAUAAGUUUCCGGUUAAAUCCAUUAGCUCAACUAAUGGGCUGCCGAAAAUACUGUAGAACUAGAGAGUGGGAGAGGUAGACGGUAUUCGGUAGGAAGGGGUAAAAUCCUUUGAUCUAUUGAGGACCACCUGUGGCGAAGGCGGUCUACCAGAACACGUUCGACGGUGAGGGAUGAAAGCUGGGGGAGCAAACCGGAUUAGAAACCCGAGUAGUCC